rnacentral:rRNA from 1 species
AUUGAACGCUGGCGGCAGGCCUAACACAUGCAAGUCGAACGGUAACAGAAAGCGGCUUGCUGCUUUGCUGCCGAGUGGCGGCCGGGUGAUUAAUGUCUGGGAAACUGCCUGAUGGAGGGGGAUAACUACUGGAAACGGUAGCUAAUACCGCAUAACGUCGCAAGCCCAAAGAGGGGGACCUUCGGGCCUCUUGCCAUCGGAUUUGCCCAGAUGGGAUUAGCUAGUAGGUGGGGUAACGGCUCACCUAGGCGACGAUCCCUAGCUGGUCUGAGAGGAUGACCAGCCACACUGGAACUGAGACACGGUCCAGACUCCUACGGGAGGCAGCAGUGGGGAAUAUUGCACAAUGGGCGCAAGCCUGAUGCAGCCAUGCCGCGUGUAUGAAGAAGGCCUUCGGGUUGUAAAGUACUUUCAGCGGGGAGGAAGGGAGUAAAGUUAAUACCUUUGCUCAUUGACGUUACCCGCAGAAGAAGCACCGGCUAACUCCGUG